AUGGUGACGACUUGGUUGAUCAAUGCGACAAAAUCAAAUCUACACAACAACAUCUCACAUGCUUCAACGACUCAAGAUGUAUGGGCAGAUCUUGAAGAACGCUUUGCUCAAACCAAUGCACCGCAAAUCCAUCAGCUAUGGAGAAACUUGUGUUUAAUGCAUAAACAACCAAAAACAAACGUAACAUAUUACUACACUCAAUUCAAAAGUUUUGUUGAUGAAUUGAGUGAAUUGCAAACCCUACCUGAAUGCAAUUGUGAGCUUUUAAUGUGUUGA